GAUUGAUGACUGAUUUGAUGGGCCCAGGAGGGGCUGUGUGAUAUGAUUGAACUGUUGAUAUGUGGAUUGUGAAUAUAGAAGUGCGUUUUUAGCCCUUUUGCAGGUCGGGUAGGUCCUAGGUAUAGGGGAGACUCUGCCGGAUUUUCGGCACGACUUAGGACGUACUUGAUAUUUUUCUUUGUUGUAUUGAGUCAAAUUUAUUAAAUAGAUGUAAUGUAAUUGUCAGGUGAGCCGGGACAGCCUUCUUCCUCCGCCCAGCCGCCACAGUAAUUUGUCGUCAAGUCUGCCACAGGAGGAUAUUUUGUUCUGGGUUAACCUGCUUUUCUACCUCGCAGGUUGUUUAUCAAUAUUGUGUAAUUUUAAUUACUCCUAGAAUUUCCGCAUGUGUUAGCAGUAUUUAUUUGAAUUUGGUCUGUAAUAUUUUUAUCAUGUUGGACCUGUAAACUUAAAUAUGUUAUGCAUGUUGAUGGAUUGGAUGAGGGAGCUGAGCUCCCAUUUAUUUUAUGUUGAUGAGUAUGUGGAGGGUGAGCUGAGCUCCCCAAUUGAGUA